GAUGAACGCUGGCGGCGUGCUUAACACAUGCAAGUCGAACGGAAAGGCCCAAGCUUGCUUGGGUACUCGAGUGGCGAACGGGUGAGUAACACGUGGGUGAUCUGCCCUGCACUUCGGGAUAAGCCUGGGAAACUGGGUCUAAUACCGGAUAGGACCACAUUUUGGAUGGUGUGGUGGAAAGUUUUUCGGUGUGGGAUGAGCUCGCGGCCUAUCAGCUUGUUGGUGGGGUAAUGGCAUACCAAGGCGUCGACGGGUAGCCGGCCUGAGAGGGUGUACGGCCACAUUGGGACUGAGAUACGGCCCAGACUCCUACGGGAGGCAGCAGUGGGGAAUAUUGCACAAUGGGCGCAAGCCUGAUGCAGCGACGCCGCGUGGGGGAUGACGGCCUUCGGGUUGUAAACUCCUUUCGCUAGGGACGAAGCGCAAGUGACGGUACCUGGAGAAGAAGCACCGGCUAACUACGUG
rnacentral:rRNA from 1 species